rnacentral:sRNA from 1 species
CGCCAAGGUCCGGCGUUUGAGGGUUAUCUGAUAUAGUGGGGUGGCUUCGGCUGCUCCGCCCGUCACUUCGGUGACACCCCGGGGGCAACCCCAACCCUUCCCUCAGACAUCAACUUGACCUGGU